rnacentral:rRNA from 1 species
UCGAGGAUCUUCGGCAAUGGGCGCAAGCCUGACCGAGCGACGCCGCGUGUGGGAUGAAGGCCUUCGGGUUGUAAACCACUGUCAGUGGGGACGAACGUCCAGUGGGUUCUCCCAUUGGAUUGACAGAUCCGCAGAGGAAGUGAUGGCUAAGCUCGUGCCAGCAGCCGCGGUAAGACGAGCAUCACAAACGUUAUUCGGAAUUACUGGGCUUAAAGGGUGCGUAGGCGGUGCAGAAAGUCGGGAGUGAAAUCCCACAGCUCAACUGUGGAAUUGCUUUCGAUACUGCUGUGCUUGAGUGAGAUAGAGGUAAGCGGAACUUAGGGUGGAGCGGUGAAAUGCGUUGAUAUCCUAAGGAACACCGGUGGCGAAGGCGGCUUACUGGGUCUCUACUGACGCUGAUGCACGAAAGCCAGGGUAGCGAACG